UAGAAAUGUAAAAUUCCUCUCCUGUCGUCUUCUACAAUAAAAUCCGAAGUGUCGUUAUCUACAAGAAGAGUCCAAAGUGUCUUCAUCCAAUCGUUGGUGAGUCGCUUUAAUUCUUUAUUUGAUCUUUUCUGAUUAUUUUCAGUCUUUUUUACACAUGUGACUGCAAAACGGAUGCCUUUUUUAAUUUAUUUCUUCUUUCAGCUUUCCUCACUGUUUGUUUGUCCUCUCUCUUUAAUUCAAAAAUAAAUCAGGCUUUUAAAAUCACGAUUGUGUCCAUAUCUGAACAUGGCUUUUUUCUCUGUGUUUUAGCUUUCUAGCUGCAUUUUUAGGUUUUAUUUACACGGAUUACUUCCUCCUGUUUUGGGAAUUUUGCUAUGUUUGACUUUGCUAUGCUCUGUUUGACUUUGCUAUACUUGUUGACUUUGAUUUUAAUAUCUCUGCUACACUUGUUAUAAAAAAGGGACUGAUGAACAUUUGGAUUUCGAAGUUGAAUUGAUUAUUCUUUGAUGAUGUAAUAUUUAUUAUUAAUCCAAAAAUUUAGUAAUAAGAUUCUUUUGUUUUUUUGUAUGGGAAGAUGACUUCAGAAAAAGCUUGCUUCAAGCCCAACAACUACGGUCCACGGAUAUGACUACUUAGAGCAAGUUCCAGCCUCACACAUGAAUUGCGAUCUUCUCAAAGGAAGUUGUUGGAUAUCAAAGACCCUUGGAGAUCUUAGGGUUUAGGCUUCUAGAGGCUUUAAGCAUUGUACAAUUUGUAAACUUCAAAGCAUUAGUCGGGGUUGUUCUUAGUCGAGUUGAAUAAUUAGGCUUAAUUAUUCUUAAUUGUUCUUAGUGUUAGUUCUUUUUGUCUUCACGGGCGGCUGAUAAGAAAUAGAGGACAAUUAGGCUUAAUUAUUCAUUCAGGUAGAAAAUGUCGGGGUUGUUCAUUCAGGGGUUGUUCAUUAAACUUAAUUCUCCUUAGUCGGGGUUGUUCAUUCAGGUAGAAUAUGUCAAGUAAGUUCCGAGAUAAUACUUGUUAAAGAGUUUAUUAUCAAUAAAAAUAAAGUUUAAGCACUUGUUGUUUGCAAGUG